rnacentral:rRNA from 1 species
AUUGAACGCUGGCGGCAUGCCUUACACAUGCAAGUCGAACGGCAGCACGGGUGCUUGCACCUGGUGGCGAGUGGCGAACGGGUGAGUAAUAUAUCGGAACGUGCCCUGUAGUGGGGGAUAACUAGUCGAAAGAUUAGCUAAUACCGCAUACGACCUGAGGGUGAAAGUGGGGGACCGCAAGGCCUCACGCUAUAGGAGCGGCCGAUAUCUGAUUAGCUAGUUGGUGGGGUAAAGGCCUACCAAGGCGACGAUCAGUAGCUGGUCUGAGAGGACGAUCAGCCACACUGGGACUGAGACACGGCCCAGACUCCUACGGGAGGCAGCAGUGGGGAAUUUUGGACAAUGGGCGAAAGCCUGAUCCAGCAAUGCCGCGUGUGUGAAGAAGGCCUUCGGGUUGUAAAGCACUUUUGUCCGGAAAGAAAUCCCUUGGGAUAAUACCUCGGGGGGAUGACGGUACCGGAAGAAUAAGGACCGGCUAACUACGUGCCAGCAGCCGCGGUAAUACGUAGGGUCCGAGCGUUAAUCGGAAUUACUGGGCGUAAAGCGUGCGCAGGCGGUUUUGUAAGACAGAUGUGAAAUCCCCGGGCUUAACCUGGGAAUUGCAUUUGUGACUGCAAGGCUAGAGUGUGUCAGAGGGGGGUAGAAUUCCACGUGUAGCAGUGAAAUGCGUAGAGAUGUGGAGGAAUACCGAUGGCGAAGGCAGCCCCCUGGGAUAACACUGACGCUCAUGCACGAAAGCGUGGGGAGCA